rnacentral:rRNA from 1 species
UACGGAGGAUCCAAGCGUUAUCCGGAAUCAUUGGGUUUAAAGGGUCCGUAGGCGGUUUUGUAAGUCAGUGGUGAAAGCCCAUCGCUCAACGGUGGAACGGCCAUUGAUACUGCAAGACUUGAAUUACUAGGAAGUAACUAGAAUAUGUAGUGUAGCGGUGAAAUGCUUAGAUAUUACAUGGAAUACCAAUUGCGAAGGCAGGUUACUACUAGUGGAUUGACGCUGAUGGACGAAAGCGUGGGGAGCGAAC